rnacentral:misc_RNA from 1 species
GAUGAAGAACGUAGCGAAAUGCGAUAAGUAAUGUGAAUUGCAGAAUUCAGUGAAUCAUCGAAUCUUUGAACGCACCUUGCACCCUUUGGCAUUCCGAAGGGUAUGCUCGUUUGAGUGUCAUUGUACUCUCACACUUCUGAUCCUUUGGAUUGGGAGCGGUGGACUUGGGUGUUGCUGCUUUACUGUGGCUCACCUCAAAUGCAUUCGUGCAACUCUUGGUUGGACAUAGUACGGCGUGAUAAGUAUCUUCGCCGGCACCUCGCAAGAGGGUGGCUGAUCAGGAGCUCUGUGCUUUCCAACUGUCUUCAGACAACAACUGACAACUUGACCUCAUAUCGAGUAGGACCACCCGCUGAACUUAAGCAUAUCAAUAAGCGGAGGA